rnacentral:rRNA from 1 species
AACGAACGCUGGCGGCAUGCCUAACACAUGCAAGUCGAACGAGACCUUCGGGUCUAGUGGCGCACGGGUUCGUAACGCGUGGGAACCUGCCCUUAGGUUCGGAAUAACUCCCCGAAAGGGGUGCUAAUACCGGAUAAUGUCUUCGGACCAAAGAUUUAUCGCCUUUGGAUGGGCCCGCGUUGGAUUAGCUAGUUGGUAGGGUAAAAGCCUACCACGGCGACGAUCCAUAGCUGGUCUGAGAGGAUGAUCAGCCACACUGGGACUGAGACACGGCCCAGACUCCUACGGGAGGCAGCAGUGGGGAAUAUUGGAAAAUGGGCGAAAGCCUGAUCCAGCAAUGCCGCGUGAGUGAUGAAGGCCUUAGGGUUGUAAAGCUCUUUUACCCGGGAUGAUAAUGACAGUACCGGGAGAAUAAGCUCCGGCUAACUCCGUG